CUUGGUCAUUUAGAGGAAGUAAAAGUCGUAACAAGGUUUCCGUAGGUGAACCUGCGGAAGGAUCAUUAGUGAAUCUUCAAAGUCGGCUCGUUCACUGUGCUGGUGGAGACACAUGUGCACGUGGCGAGUCGCAAAUCCACACACCUGUGCAUCUAUGACUCUGAGUGCCGCCUUGCAUGGCCUUUGAUAGGGCCUGGCACUCGAGUACUUUCACACACUCUCAAAUGUAAUGGAAUGUCUUAUUGUGCAUAAUGUACAAAACGAAACAACUUUCAACAACGGAUCUCUUGGCUCUCGCAUCGAUGAAGAACGCAGCGAAAUGCGAUAAGUAAUGUGAAUUGCAGAAUUCAGUGAAUCAUCGAAUCUUUGAACGCACCUUGCACCCUUUGGUAUUCCGAAGGGUACACCCGUUUGAGUGUCAUUGUAAUCUCACUAUGAUCGACUUUAAUGUCUUUUCAUAUGUGGACUUGGAUGCUGCCGUGGUCCGUAACGGCUCGUCUGAAAUGCCUGAGUGUACCCCGCUCUGCGGCGUAUUCGGUGUGAUACAUCUUCACCGGAGUUGAUCUCUUGGGAUCGCGUCUGUAUCUGUGUGGCUCUAUGCUUCGAACCGUCCUUCUUUCAUGGGGACAAUCUCUGACAAUUUGACCUCAAAUCGGGUGGGACUACCCGCUGAACUUAAGCAUAUCAAUAAGCGGAGGAAAAGAAACUAACAAGGAUUCCCCUAGUAACGGCGAGUGAAGAGGGAAAAGCUCAAAUUUUGAAUCUGGUGUCUUUCGGCGCCCGAGUUGUAAUCUAGAGAAGUGUUUUCUGUGUCGGACCGUGCACAAGUUCCCUGGAACGGGGCGUCAUAGAGGGUGAGAAUCCCGUAUAUGGCACGGACUGCCGAUGCUCUGUGUUACACUCUCAACGAGUCGAGUUGUUUGGGAAUGCAGCUCAAAAUGGGUGGUAAAUUCCAUCUAAAGCUAAAUAUUGGCGAGAGACCGAUAGCGAACAAGUACCGUGAGGGAAAGAUGAAAAGCACUUUGGAAAGAGAGUGAAACAGUACGUGAAAUUGUUGAAAGGGAAGCGUUUGAAGUCAGUCAUGUCUGUUGGGAUUCAGCCUGGCUUUUUGCCUGGUGUACUUUCCGUCCGACAGGUCAGCAUCAAUUUCGACCGGGGGAAAAAGACGCAAGGAAUGUGGCUGUCUUCGGGCAGUGUUAUAGCCCUGUGUUGUAUGCCUCGGUUGGGAUUGAGGAACGCAGCGCGCCCUAUAGGCCAGGGGCUACCCGCCUCUUGACACGCGCUUAGGAUGCUGGCAUAAUGGCUUUAAGCGACCCGUCUUGAAACACGGACC
rnacentral:rRNA from 1 species